rnacentral:rRNA from 1 species
UAGUUUUCGGACUAAGAGACCGGCGCACGGGUGCGUAACGCGUAUGCAAUCUACCUUUUACAGAGGGAUAGCCCAGAGAAAUUUGGAUUAAUACCUCAUAGUAUAGCAGUUUCGCAUGAAACCACUAUUAAAGUCACAACGGUAAAAGAUGAGCAUGCGUCCCAUUAGCUAGUUGGUAAGGUAACGGCUUACCAAGGCUACGAUGGGUAGGGAUCCUGAGAGGGAGAUCCCCCACACUGGUACUGAGACACGGACCAGACUCCUACGGGAGGCAGCAGUGAGGAAUAUUGGACAAUGGGCGCAAGCCUGAUCCAGCCAUGCCGCGUGCAGGAUGACGGUCCUAUGGAUUGUAAACUGCUUUUGUACGAGAAGAAACACUCCUAUGUAUAGGAGCUUGACGGUAUCGUAAGAAUAAGGAUCGGCUAACUCCGUGCCAGCAGCCGCGGUAAUACGGAGGAUCCAAGCGUUAUCCGGAAUCAUUGGGUUUAAAGGGUCCGUAGGCGGUUUAGUAAGUCAGUGGUGAAAGCCCAUCGCUCAACGGUGGAACGGCCAUUGAUACUGCUGAACUUGAAUUAUUAGGAAGUAACUAGAAUAUGUAGUGUAGCGGUGAAAUGCUUAGAGAUUACAUGGAAUACCAAUUGCGAAGGCAGGUUACUACUAAUUGAUUGACGCUGAUGGACG